rnacentral:rRNA from 1 species
AUACGUAGGUGGCGAGCGUUGUCCGGAAGUUACUGGGCGUAAAGGGUGUGCAGGCGGAUAUUUAAGUGAGAUGUGAAAGACCCGGGCUUAACCCGGGGCAGUGCAUUUCAAACUGGAUAUCUAGAGUGCAGGAGAGGAGAAUGGAAUUCCUAGUGUAGCGGUGAAAUGCGUAGAGAUUAGGAAGAACACCAGUGGCGAAGGCGAUUCUCUGGACUGUAACUGACGCUGAGGCACGAAAGCGUGGGUAGC